AUUGAACGCUGGCGGCAGGCUUAACACAUGCAAGUCGAGCGAGCGGCGGACGGGUGAGUAAUGUCUGGGAAACUGCCUGAGGGAGGGGGCUAACUACUGGAAACGGUAGCUAAUACCGCCUACCAUCCGAUGCGCCCAGCUGGGAGUAGCUAGGAUGUGGGGUAAUGGCUCACCUAGGAGACGAUCCCUAGCUGGUCUGAGAGGAUGACCAGCCAGACUGGAACUGAGCCCCGGUCCAGACUCCGACGAGAGGCAGCAGUGGGGAAUAUUGCACAAUGGGCGCAAGCCUGAUUCAGCCAUGCCGCGUGUGUGAAGAAGGCCUUCGGGUUGUAGAGCACUGUCAGCGGGGAGGCGUUACUCGCAGAAGAAGCACCGGCUAACUCCGUGCCAGCAGCCGCGGUAAUAC
rnacentral:rRNA from 1 species